GGAGCUCAUCUUAUUGCCAAGAGC
rnacentral:siRNA from 1 species